CGUCAGGAUGAACGCUAGCGGCAGGCUUAAUACAUGCAAGUCGUGGGGCAGCAGGUUUGUAGCAAUACAGAUGCUGGCGACCGGCAAACGGGUGCGGAACACGUACAGAACCUUCCUUUGAGCGGGGAAUAGCCCAGAGAAAUUUGGAUUAAUACCCCAUAGUAUAAUGAAGUGGCAUCACUUUAUUAUUAAAGAUUUAUCACUCGAAGAUGGCUGUGCGGCUGAUUAGGUAGUUGGCGGGUAAAGGCCCACCAAGCCUGCGAUCAGUAACUGGUGUGAGAGCACGACCAGUCACACGGGCACUGAGACACGGGCCCGACUCCUACGGGAGGCAGCAGUAAGGAAUAUUGGUCAAUGGAGGCAACUCUGAACCAGCCAUGCCGCGUGGAGGAUGAAGGUCCUCUGGAUUGUAAACUUCUUUUAUAUGGGACGAAAAAAGGCCUUUCUAAGUCGUCUGACGGUACCAUAUGAAUAAGCACCGGCUAACUCCGUG
rnacentral:rRNA from 1 species